rnacentral:lncRNA from 1 species
CUGAAUUUCAAGUGUCGUGCCUCAACAGAACAACCAAAUAUAGCAGUUCAGAGACAAAUAAUUAAUGGUGACACUACAUAAAUGGCUGACAUAAAAAAUAACUGGUGCCUGUGACUACAAAUGUUGGCUAUGCUUUGCCUUUGGACAUGCAAGAAGUGCUGUGUCUGAACUGCUGUGCACAGGAGAAAAUAAGGAAAUAUUCCAGCACUGGUUCGCCAGGAGGCCAGAUGCUCUUCAGCAUAAGAAUAAAGCCCUCCUAGCUGUUGUAAGGAAAGAAACUCCUGCUAAGAUGGAAGGAGAAACUAAAGUCUCUCUUCUACCCUGCAAGCCCGUGUCUCAGCUGUGGAGAAACUAGUUCAGUGGCUGAAAGAAAGAGUAAGUCUCCUUUUUCACCUGUACAAACCAGUAUCUCAGCUAUUAGAAGUAAGCAUUCUUCUGCUUGAGAGACAGGAUGUAGUGAGUAUGCACCAAGUGUCAUCUUGUGGUUUUACCUGUGACCACAGAGGAUGUGAAGAGCUGGGAUGGAAAAUCCAC